AGACAGCUAGGAUGUUAGCUUGGAAGCAGCUAUUCAUUCAAAGAGUGCGUAACAGCUCACUAGUCGAGCGACAGAGCGUGGAUAAUAAACGGGCAUCAAGCAUAUCACCGAAGUUCUGGGCGCGAGAGCGCGGUAGGGGAGCAUUCCAUUCAGCGUCGAAGCAGUUUCGUGAGGAAUUGUGGAGCGUAUGGAAAAGCAAAUGUAGGCAUGAGUAACGAUAAUGCGGGAGAGUAACCCGCACACCGCAAGACCAAGGUUUCCUGAUCAACGCUAAUCGGAUCAGGGUUAGUCGGGUCCUAAGGGUAAGCCGAACGGCGAUCUCGAUGGAUAAUCGGUUAAUAUUCCGAUACUAACAUAUACCUCGAUGGAGAGACGAAGGAACGUAAGUGCCGCCACCUGACGGAAUAGGUGGUUAAAGGGCGUAGGUAUAGGGGCAGAUUAAGAGUUAGUCCUUGCUGAAACCUGACAGUACAGAGAGCCUACGGGCAAUUUGAUAGAGCACCCAAGUCGACUUCCGAGAAAAUCUUCUAAGUUAUAGUAUAUGUUACCCGUACCGUAAACCGACACAGGUGGUCGAGGAGAGUAUCCUAAGGUGCUCGAGUGAAUCACGGUUAAGGAACUAGGCAAAUUAACCCCGUAACUUCGGGAAAAGGGGUCCCUAUGAAAGUAGGGCGCAGCGAAGAGGUCCAGGCGACUGUUUAUCAAAAACACAGGGCUCUGCAAAUUCGAAAGAAGACGUAUAGGGCCUGACACCUGCCCGGUGCUGGAAGGUUAAGAGGGGAUGUCAUCGCAAGAGAAGCAUUGAAUCGAAGCCCCAGUAAACGGCGGCCGUAACUAUAACGGUCCUAAGGUAGCGAAAUUCCUUGUCGGGUAAGUUCCGACCUGCACGAAUGGUGUAACGAUCUGGACACUGUCUCAACCGUGAGCUCGGUGAAAUUGUAGUCCCGGUGAUGAUGCCGGGUACCCGCAACGGGACGAAAAGACCCCGUGAACCUUUACUAUAGCUUAACGCUGAAUUUGGGUACACAAUGUGUAGGAUAGGCCGGAGGCUUUGAAGCGGGCACGCCAGUGUUCGUGGAGCCGACGUUGAAAUACGGCCCUUUGUGUAUUUGAGUUCUAACCCUGCGAAGGGGACACCGUUUGGUGGGUAGUUUGACUGGGGUGGUCGCCUCCAAAAGCGUAACGGAGGCUUCCCAAGGUACCCUCAGCACGAAUGGUAACCGUGCGCGGAGUGCAAUAGCAUAAGGGUGCUUGACUGUGAGACAUACAAGUCGACCAGGUACGAAAGUAGGGUAUAGUGAUCCGGUGGUUCUGCGUGGACUGGCCAUCGCUCAAAGGAUAAAAGGUACUCCGGGGAUAACAGGCUGAUCGCCGCCAAGAGCUCAUAUCGACGCGGCGGUUUGGCACCUCGAUGUCGGCUCGUCACAUCCUGGGGCUGGAGAAGGUCCCAAG
rnacentral:rRNA from 1 species